GGUGCGUUAUCACCUUCCAAUUUAUCACUUCACCAGGCUUAAUACAUCUGGCCCAUAAUGCCAUGGCUGUAGGCAGGGGCGCAGCGCUGCGUGCUCAGGCCGCGGAGUAUAUGGCAGCUAGUGGCACCUUAAUAGCCUCGCGCUGGGAGAAUCUGUGCUUAAUAAUACCCCUGGCCUCAGUGCGAGGCAUCGGCCCACGUCCCCCUCCUGUAUAUCAGGCCUCAGUGCGAGGCAUCGGCCCACGUGUACCUCCUGUAUAUCAGAACUCAGUGCGAGGAGCCGGACCACGUCCCCCACCUGUAUAUCAUGCAUUGGGUAUAAUACCCUGGCCCUCAGUGUGAGGCGCCGCCACAGGUUCCCUCCUGUAUAUCGGGCAUUUGGGAUAAUACCCUGAGCUUCAGUGCAAGGCUCCGAACCAUGACCUCCUCCGGUAUAACAGGCAUUGGUGAUUAUACCCUGGCCCUCAGUGCGAGGCAUCGACCCACGUCCACUCCUAUGUAUCAGGCCUCAGUGCGAGGCACCGGCCCAUGUCCUUCUCCUGUAUAUCGGGCAUUUGGGAUAAUACCCUGAGCCUCAGUAUGAGGCACUGGGCCACGUCUCCCUCCUGUAUAUCAGGCAUUGGGAAUAAUACCCUGGCCCUCAGUGUGAGGCACCCGUCCACCUCCCCCUCCUGUAUGUGAGACAUUGGUGAUAAUACCCUUGCCCUCAGUGGGAGGUAUAUAUCGCCAUGCUGCUGAUAGUAUAUAUGUGUACUGUGCACAUAGCCAGAUUAAGGGGGGGAUGUUGGGCAUACUGCACCCUGGGCCCCCCUCUGUCAGAGGGCCCCCCCGGCCAGAGCACACUGACAUCACUAGCUUUCCCUCUUGUGCAGCAGCAGAACCAGACAGCCAGAAUGCGAGCAGGACAGUAUGCAGUGCAGGCAGAGAAAGGAGUAUCAGAUUUCAUGAACUAUCGAUGGAGCUUCCCGACCAGAGGGGAGAUAGAAGGGUGGAGAGAACUUGAAGUGACACAGGAUGGGAUCCCUGUGUCACUUACAGCUCUCUCCACACCUGGGUGUCUUGAGUCCUGUGUAACUUGUUAUCUAAUGAGGGUCUAGAGAGACACACACUCACUCAGAGUCCUCAUGAGUCCUGUCCCAGUGUAUGCUUUAUCCAGAUAUGUAAAGGUCGAUGUGGUACAAACUAUAUGACUUGUGACUGUCUCUUGUAGCAGCUGUCUGUUGACCAUUGAUACUGGAACCCAGUUCCACGGACAGCAGUUCCUGGGAGCAGCAUCAGUGGUACCUGGAGCAACACAGCAAUCAGUGGCUAUGAAAAUGGAGGCAGACCGGAGAGCUCCACCAGACAGCGGUGCCGCAGACAGGAGAAGUAGAGCAAUGGUGGCUUAGCAUUAGGAAGCGUGGCAGGCCCUAGGGAGGGGCGGAGAAGCACACAGAGGUCAGAGCUCAGCAGAAGGCAUCAGGUACAGGGGAUGACUACGUGGCCCAAAGAGGAUCCCCCGGACCACAGGAUUUAGAGAGAAUUAAACCGACUUCUCGUAUGCCGGCUGCUAAGGAGGCCCUCACCAUCCGGUAUGAUGCCCUUGGAGAGGACAGCAAUGCAGAACUGAGAAUGGAGACCAGAGCGAAGCUGGAGGUGCAUGUGCGAAAUCUGGAGGCGUAAGGGGUAUUUACACCGAGCCCCCAUAAUAUCCUAGAAGAGCCAGAAGAAGUUGAGGAAUCCCCAUAGAAGAAAAAGAUUAAAGAAGAACCAUUGGACUCAUAUGAGGAAGAGCCUUCAACAAGCACAGCUGAGCCUUCCAAGAAGAAGAAGAAAGAGAAGAUUAAUCAGGAGGAAGAGGAGGACUGAGGACUUUACCUGUAGGAACUGGUGAUCCUGUUGCUUGGUUUUGCAGCACUUUUCCAAAUGUGUGGAAAGGUGCCUUAUAUAUAUAUAUAUAUAUAUAUAUAUAUAUAUAUAUAUAUAUAUAUAUAUAUAUAUAUAUAUAUAUAUAUAUAUAUAUAUAUAUAUAUAUAUAUAUAUACUAACGAAAAUCAGUCCUUUGCACUAUAAUCCUCGGUUUUCCAGAAUAUUGUCCAAAUGCGCUUCAAUCCCCUCCGUGCCACCGGAGCAAUUGGAAACUGGUAAACAAAUUGGAGAGCGCAAAUAUAAGUAAUAAAAAGUAUAUAAUUUUACUUGUAAAAUCUGCUUACAUACAUUUCAGUUUAAAACAAACAGCAUAUGUGGACAGCUGCAACUUAGCCACUUCGUCCGUACUGCAGACUCCUCUCAACGCCCACUGGUCACGGUCAAUGACAUCACAACAUCCACGUCCAAGCCAUGUAUAUAUAAUCUCUUUGUUGAAUUAAUUGAUCUUUGUAAUAAGCCAAUGACGGUUGUCUUGUAAGAUGGAGACUCAGUCGCUGACUUUGUGUAUACAUUGGUUACAUUUAUGAUUAUGGUCCAUAUACAUUCCUAUCCAACAAAUACACUUCUAACCAUAA